GCCAGGUGUGGUGGUGUGCGCCUGUAGUCCCAGCUACUUGGGAGGCUGAGGUGGGAGGAUCGCUUGAACCCAGGAGGUCAAGGCUGCAGUGAGCCGUGUGUGCCACUGCACUCCAGCCUGGGUGACAGAGCAAGACCCUGUUUCAA
ensembl:misc_RNA Metazoa_SRP Metazoan signal recognition particle RNA